rnacentral:lncRNA from 1 species
GUUAAUUUAAAAGGACAAGCAAUUCAGGCUGGGCGCAGUGGCACACACCUGUAAUCCCAGAACUUUGGGAGGCUGAGGUGGGUGGAUCACCUGUGGUGAAGAGUUCAAGACCAGCCUGGCCAACAUGGUGAAACCCCAUCUCUACUAAAAAUACAAAAAUUAGCCGGGCAUGGUGGUGGACACCUGUAAUCCCAACUACUCGGGAGGCUGAGGCAGGAGAAUCACUUGAACCCAGGAGGCGGAGAUUGCAGUGAGCUGAGAUCACACCACUGCACUCCAGCCUGGGCGACACGGCGAGACUCUAUGUCAAAAGAAAAGAAAAGAAAAGAAAAGAAAAGAAAAGGACAAGCAAUUCUUCAAUCUUGGGAUAAAUGAAGACAUUGAUUGGAGUGUCAUAAAACUAAGAUGUGAGAAUUUUUGAAUUAGAAUUUUAAUUUUAAUACCUACUUUCAAGAGGAGGUAAGAACCAAAAGUUUUAAAGGGAAAAGACUGAAGAUGAGCAUGUUUCUUUGAAUUAUAAAACUUGGGUUUAAUACCACUAGACUCUAAAUUUCCAACCCUAGUAAUAUGGAAUAUGCUGUUGGAACUCAACGUGGUCGUUUGCUUAACUUUUUGUUGAUAUAAUCUGAAAUGAUAUUAAAUCUCACUGUGGAGCAUCAUAAAAACAACCUAUUUGUCAGAGAAGAGUAGGACAAUUGUCCUAUUAAAUUGGAAAACUGAAAAAGAAAAUUUAAAAACAGACUUCCAUUAUUGCAUUCAUAUGACAAAUACUUUUUGAGUGUCUGUGUCACUGGGCACUGUACUACCUUGUAACUACCUAGGCAGUCGGGGUAGGGAAUCCUCCUUGGGGAAGUACCCUUUGUAAGGCCAGGCACAGAGAAAAAGGAGGGUAAAGAGUGUGCUAGGUAAUAGGUAGAGGACAUGUACAAAUAGAUGGCUACUGAUUUUCAGUUGAUAACUAUGUCUAAUUAGGUGAAUACCAUCUUAUUCUAGCAAGAGUAUCAGAGUGCGUUCAUUCCUGAGGACCCUUUCCCUGGUGUUGAAACAAAUUAUCUCUAGCCUUCAGUACGAAAUAAAUUCCCUUUUGCUACAUUUCUGCCAAAUCUGAAGAAUCACAAUGGAUGAGUCUCAUGCCUAUUUCAAAAUGGUAUAGAGUCUCUGGGGGUUCAGUAUAUUUAACUUGUUUCCUCAUAAGUGUGACUUCAAGAUAUUGUUUCAUGCUGGAAUUGUAAAUUGUGAUUUAUCCAUUCUCUGUAGAAAUAUUAAAUAAAUCUGAAAAAACUCCAAAAC